AUUGAACGCUGGCGGCAUGCUUUGCACAUGCAAGUCGAACGGUAACAGGCCGCAAGGUGCUGACGAGUGGCGAACGGGUGAGUAAUGCAUCGGAACGUGCCCAGUCGUGGGGGAUAACGCAGCGAAAGUUGCGCUAAUACCGCAUACGAUCUAUGGAUGAAAGCGGGGGACCGUAAGGCCUCGCGCGAUUGGAGCGGCCGAUGUCAGAUUAGGUAGUUGGUGGGGUAAAGGCUCACCAAGCCGACGAUCUGUAGCUGGUCUGAGAGGACGACCAACCACACUGGGACUGAGACACGGCCCAGACUCCUACGGGAGGCAGCAGUGGGGAAUUUUGGACAAUGGGCGCAAGCCUGAUCCAGCAAUGCCGCGUGCAGGAAGAAGGCCUUCGGGUUGUAAACUGCUUUUGUACGGAACGAAACGGUCCUGGUUAAUACCCGGGGCUAAUGACGGUACCGUAAGAAUAAGCACCGGCUAACUACGUGCCAGCCGCCGCCGUAAAAC
rnacentral:rRNA from 1 species